AGGUGUAGCCAGGGAGAGGGUGGAGCCAACGACUGUGACGGGCUUCCCGACUGCCCGAAGUGGGAGUGGUGGGGUUGCAGGAAGGAGAAAGGAAGAGAAGCAGAAGAGGGCAGCAGCGGCUGCCACUAACGGCCUCCCUGGGCGCUGACAGGCUGGGUCGGCGCCCAGUUCGCUGGGCAGUUCGUGCCGCCGCCUCGGCCGCUCGGCCCCUGGGCCUGGACUUGUGGCGCGGGGCGAGGCGGAGGGCUGCUGUCGCCGCGCAGGCAGAGGCCGGGUCCUCGCGGCCGAGACAUGUGAGUAGGAGCCGAACCCACACCGGAGAGCCCCGGAGGGCCCAGCCUUCGGACGCUCGGACCCUUGCUCCCUCCGGGGUCUUCGCGGACCGUGGCUGGCCGGAAGCGUCGGGUUUCGGAAGCAGGCAAGGGAAGAUGUGAUCUGUUUCUCUUCUGCAGAAAAAGAGGCCCUUCCUCCCCUUCCCGCGAAGGUGAGUGUGCGAUCCUGGCUGCUCUUUUUCGCUGUAAAGACUAGGGUGUCUCGAGCGUGCGUAGGAAGGUUGGAACCUGUGUCGACAAGCAGGGCUCAUUGUUGCUUACUCCUUUGAAAACGACAGUGCUGAACUUUGAAUGUUGGUUUGGGAGGGUGAUUUGGGGGUUUGUUGUUGCUCUUGGAUCCUUUAAGAAACAUUCAUUGUUUCUCUGCUGAUUGUACAUUGUUUUUCUUUGUAGAGAAAUCGUUGUCAGUUACCCUUUCUCAAGCAGCCAGAGAUUCUUAAUCUUUCAAGGAGGAACGUUUUCAAGUAGCAAGAAAUACCUAUUGAGAGGACACGUUAGCUGCUUUUGCUGGGGUUUCUGCUACUACAUUGAAUGCUUCCUGGAUGGUUUUAUCUUCCCAAGUUAGCUGUGUCGGUUGAAUUUACCCAUUUUGCUUUCCGGUGGUUAAUAAUCUGUCAGGAGAAACUCCUUUUUUUUUUUGAAUGAAAGGAUAGAGGCAGCUGAGUAUGUCAUAGAGGGGAGGAGAAAUGUGGGGAAGGACACUAGAAGUGGAAUUAAGAGUGAUGACGAUGGCUUUUGGUUUCGUAAUAGGUUUGUUCGAGUGAGUUGUUGGGCUGCUGCAAAUAUUCUAGUACAACACCCAACAGAUAUGAAGAUGAAUAAUCAACCUUUGGCCUCUGUUUCCCUACUCCCUUAACCUUUUACCACUUUAGGUGUGAGAAUCACUUGCUUGUAUGUGCACAUAUCUGUCAGUGUGUGAUAUGUUUACAAACUAGAUAGGUCCAACGGUACAUGUAUUUACCUGUACAGGAAAACCACAGUAGUUGCUGACUACAUAAGCAUAAUGCUUGUUUUUGCUCAGAGAAUCUUGUGUUUGGAGUAUGUAGCAUGUUUUAGUAAACUGUUAAGGGAUAGCUUGUUUCAUUUAUUAAUUUUUUUCCCCUAAUGGUUUGGGACAGGUGUUUCAGGUAUAGGAAGGGAACAUGAUUUUUUUUUUCACCUGACUGUUGAUGAAAGGGGACAUGCUUUUGAGGCAGAAUAGGGAAGGAUAUUAGCUUUGGGGUGAGAUCUGGGUUUGAAUUCUAGUGUUCCUGCUAUGUAAUAGUGGGUAUUAUUUAAAAUCUCUUUGAGCCUCACUUUCUUAUAAAAUUUUUGUGAGGCUUGAAUAAGAUUACACAUGCAAAGUAGUACAUUGCUUGAAUGCUGUGAAAGUAAUGGCUACUCUCAUGGUUGGACGGGCAAAUUGUGUUCAGAGAAGGGCAGGAUGACUCUGCAUAAGGUGAUCUGCCGGUGCCCAGUAUUUCUUCCUCUUUAGUAUGAGAAAAAGGACCUUUAUGUCUUGAACUGGUUAGGGGGCUUAGAGCCUUUUUCUGGAAAGGUUUGACCCUUUGCAUCUCUUCCCUCCCCAUUGCAACUCCCCCUCCUACUCUUCCCCUUCAUUCCUAUUCCUCUACCAACUAUUGUGCUGCCCUCUUGUGGUUAACUACACUAAUAAGAACUUUCUUUUGCUCCUCUCUCAUUACUUUUUUCACUUCCCUUUGCUCCUAGUUUCCCAGACUGUGGCCCUAGAACGCCAUUGAACUCAGGCUUGAACUGAUAGAUUGAUGUAGGUCACAGUUUCAACAUUAGAUUGAUACAAUCCUUUUUAAAGUGUCAUGUUUUCGCAAAGCUGUGUUUUUAGAGGUUGCUCUAAAGUAACUACUAUAUGAAAAUAAGUGUGACCCAGGAUAUGAGAGUGUGGUGUCUAUUUUGAUUGCAGGUUUGAGAAUUUGUACAGUGCCCAACAAGCAUAAGUUAUAAGAACAUUAAUGCUUAAGUGGUUUGAACUCACCUGCUUAAGUAUUUCUUUUGGCCUAGAGGUACUGUGAAAAAAUUACUAAGACUAAGGAUUCCCUAAAUGGAGAAAGUUUGGGAACCUCUGCUUUAGCUUUUGGUUGGCUUUUCUGAUAUAAUUUUUUUUAAUGGAAAAGCUGCAUUUUUCAAAUGUUGCUCACUAAUUGAUUCCCUCCCCACCACAACUGACAAGAUUAUUGAUACAAAGCUAGUACCUGCCGAUCAUAGUUUAAUAUAUUUACUCCUAUUUAAUAUCUUUAUAGCUUAUGCCCAGUUCUUUCAUUCUGAACUAAGAUUAUCGCUUGUCAUUCUACUUCCUGGUUUUUCCAAUUACGCCUUGGUAAUUUUCUUCUCUCCUGUUCAUAUUUCUUUCUUUUUUCUUUUUCGUCUUUUGUCUUUUUAGGGCUGCACCCACCACAGCAUAUGGAGAUUCCUAGGCUAGGAGUCUAAUCAGAGCUGUAAGCUGCCUGCCUACUCCACAGCGACACCAGAUCCAAGCUGAGUCUGCAACCUACACCACAGCUCACAGCAACGCCAGAUCCUUAACCCACUGAGUGAGGCCAGGGAUCAAACCCGCAACCUCAUGGUUCCUAGUCAGAUUCGUUUCCGCUGCGCCAUGACCGGAACUCCUUUGGUUCAUAUUUCUUUUCUUAGUCAUAUCUCUGCUUCUCCCAUUUUUUGUUUUUUUGUGUUGUUUUGUUUUUUUUGUUUUUGUUUUUGGGGCCACACCUCUGGUACAUGAACGUUCCCAGCCUAGGGGUUGAAUUAGAGCUAUAGCUGCCAGCCUACACCACAGCAGUAGCAACACGGGAUCCAAGCUGAGUCUCUGACCUACACCACACCUCACGGCAAUGUCAGAUCCUUAACAUGCUGAGCAAGGCCAAGGAUCGUACCUGCAGCCUCUUGGAUACUUGUCGGAUUCCUUUCUGCUGAGCCAUGAUGGGAACUCCAGCUUCCCGCGUUUUACCACCACGAAUACCAGGACUCUUCCUCAGUCUAGCAUAUUGAAAGUCAUAUCAAUCUAUUAGAAUCCAGCAUCUCUUCCUUUUAUUUAUCCUCAUUAACACAUGUCACUCUAAAUACUUCUCAUUGUGGAAUUCUCUUGUUCCCAAAUCUUCAGUGGCUUCCCACCUAUUAAGUUUAUAUUCCUUUUCCUGGCUUCUAAGACACUUUCAUCAGUUCCUGCCCUAUUUAUUCAGCCUUUUGUCUAAGACCCCCAAUGAGCAUUCUCUGCUCUAGUAUUGCAAGCUGCUUUGCUUUCCAAUAAUAGCUAUACUUAUUCUGUUUUUUAACUUGACUCAUGUUUUCCACCCUUCUUCCACAAAGCCCAAUUCUACACCCUGUUGCAUUCCUCACUAGAUGUGGUAUAACUGAGCAGGGUCUCAGUCUCCUUAUCUGAAAAAUGAGGAGAAUUGUACUUUUUCCACAGGGCUGUAGUGAGAAUUAAGUGAGUUAAGACGUGAAAAGCACCCAAGACUAGGGCCUUGCACAUUAAGCACUCCCUGAUAUAAAAUAAGCUCCUUUAAUAAUAAUAAACUAAUAAUAUAUAUAAUAAAAUAUUAUUAUACUACAUAAUGCUCCUUAUAGAAUCCACAUAGUCACAACUAUUUAUUACUACUAUUAUUACUACUGUUGUACUCAUAGUUAAAAUUCAACCUUGUUUGUGAAACUUUCUCACUAAAUACUGUUUUUUUUUCCUCUUUAUAGCUCUGUAGGUCUUUUAGUCUUAGAAUAUCUUCACUUAGUUUAUAUAUCAUGCUUUGGUUGUUUGAUAGUUACUUCCCUAGUGUUAGCCAUAUCUUUUCAAGUUGAUUGUGUAUGUUUUAAGAAAUAAGAUCUAGAUUAAACACACUCAGAGUGCUGAGUACAUGGGGAAUAUUCAGUAAAUGCUGU
rnacentral:lncRNA from 1 species